AAGGAUCAUUAACGAGUUUUGAAACGGGUUGUUGCUGGCCUUCCGAGGCAUGUGCACGCCCUGCUCAUCCACUCUACACCUGUGCACUUACUGUAGGUUGGCGUGGGUUUCUAGCCUCCGGGCUGGGAGCAUUCUGCCGGCCUAUGUACRCUACAAACUCUAAAGUAUCAGAAUGUAAACGCGUCUAACGCAUCUUA
rnacentral:misc_RNA from 1 species